GAAAUGUUGGAGUUGAAUUUUAAACUUUUACGGCUUUUUAUGUCAUCCACAACCCGCCCCCCUCUUGUUAGGGCCUUUUCGUCCUCUAACCAUAGAGGCUUCUCCUCUCUCGCUCUGGAAUCUCAUUAGAAUUAUUCUUCAGCAUCUAUCUUUCAAUCUUUGCAUUUCUUUCUUUUUUUUCUUAACCUUUAGCUUUGUAUAAAUUUUAGAUUAUAUUUCAUUAGAUUAGAUUAGAUUAGCAGAAACUGGUAGAUCACCAUGACUUCAUUCAUCAACGUCGACGCUCCCCAACUGCCUACCGCUCUUUCCCAUUUAGCCAUUCAAGAUCAGGUGGAAGUGGAAACUAAGGUGGAGAUUCAUGAAAAACCUUGUGGGAAUCAUGGUGGAGUUUGUGCCAUAUGCUUGGAUAAGAUUGUGCUUCAGGAAACUGCUCUUAUAAAAGGUUGUGAGCACGCCUACUGUGUGACCUGUAUCCUUCGAUGGGCCACAUACAGUGAGAAACCGACCUGUCCUCAAUGUAAAUAUCCAUUUGAGUUUCUUAAUGUUCAUCGUUCUCUUGAUGGCAGGUAAGCAAUACUUAGCAUCAUUCAGAGUUCUUUUACUCGGCAUACGUCAUCUGUGAAAUAUUCAGUGAAUGAUCAGAUCAAUUUGUAAAUUUGGCAUCCAGAAGUAUACUGGAAAUGUCUUUUCGUCAUCUUUUAUCCAUGUUAUUUACAUCUAGUACAUUUUUCCUCUCUCUCUCUCUCUAAAAAAUUUAUAUUUUAAUAAUGUUGUUUAUUUCUUCAAUUCAACAGCAUCCAGGAUUACAUGUUUGAAGAAAGUGUGUGCCUCCUGCUUAGAGCUGCAUGGUUUAAACCUUUGAUUGUAGAGGAUCAUCAUGAAGAUGUUUAUGAUGAUUUAGAGGAUUAUUAUCCAUAUGAAUAUGAGGAUGAUGAGGAUGAUUUAGAUGAAGUUUACUUAAGCCAUUCACCAAACCUUCGUAUUGGUAAUCGGAGGUGGGGAGACAAUGGGUAUGUUAGGGCAGGGCGUCAAGAAGCAAGGCCGGUCUAUCGACCAAACAGCCAGGACUCAGGUGCUAGUUCAUCACGUGAUCCAAAUAAGAAAGAGGCUCCAAAGGAUAGAACCGGCCGACGUGCAAAGAGGACACUUAAGCGUGAAGCUGCUGACAAGGCAGCCGCGGCAAAACAUCAACAGCACUUGGCAAGGUUGGGCCGGAAGUGAUUCUGUGUCUUGUCCCUGUCUCUUUAUGCAAUUAGUUCAUAAUCCUGAAACCAUGAAUCUGGUCUUUGUACAGUAUUUCCUUUUCUCUUAACUUUGUUAAAUAAUGACAUGGUAAUGAGUCGGGCAUCAUGGGGUUAAGUGGGUCGUGUAUCAUUCAAAAUUUAAUCUUCAAUCAUUCAAAAAAUCUCAGAAUCCUGUUCUGAAUCUCUAUUACUAUUCAUUUGAAAGCUUUCAUCGAUGUUUAACUGCCCUUCCCAAUACAUGACUAACUAGAUAUUUC
rnacentral:misc_RNA from 1 species